rnacentral:SRP_RNA from 2 species
GCCGGGCGCGGUGGCGGGCGCCUGUAAUCCCAGCUACUCGGGAGGCUGAGGCAGGAGAAUGGCAUGAACCCAGGAGGCGGAGCUUGCAGUGAGCCGAGACAGUGCCACUGCAGACCAGCCUGGGCGAAAGAGCGAGACUCUGUCUCUU